rnacentral:rRNA from 1 species
GACGAACGCUGGCGGCGUGCUUAACACAUGCAAGUCGUACGGUAAGGCCCUUUCGGGGGUACACGAGUUGCGAACGGGUGAGUAACACGUGAGUAACCUGCCCACAACUUUGGGAUAACGCUAGGAAACUGGUGCUAAUACUGGAUAUGUGCUCCUGCUGCCUUGUGGGUGUUGGAAAGCUCCGGCGGUUGUGUAUUGACUCGCGGCCUUUCAGAUUGUUGGUGGGGUAGUGGCCUACCAAGGCUGCGACGAGUAGCCGGCCGGAGAGGGUGACCGGGCACAUUGAGACUGGGAUACGGACCAGACCCCGACGGGAGGCAGAAGUGGGGAAUAUUGAAAAAGGGGAGGAAGCCAGAGGCAGCAACGCCACGUGCGGGAUGACGGCCUAGGGGUUGUAAACCGCUUUCAGUAGGGACGAAGAUUUUAGUGACGGUACCGGCAGAAGAAGCACCGGCUAACUACGUG